UGGGGAAUUUUGGACAAUGGGCGCAAGCCUGAUCCAGCAAUGCCGCGUGCAGGAUGAAGGCCUUCGGGUUGUAAACUGCUUUUGUACGGAACGAAACGGCGAGCUCUAAUACAGUUUGCUAAUGACGGUACCGUAAGAAUAAGCACCGGCUAACUACGUGCCAGCAGCCGCGGUAAUACGUAGGGUGCAAGCGUUAAUCGGAAUUACUGGGCGUAAAGCGUGCGCAGGCGGUUAUGUAAGACAGAUGUGAAAUCCCCGGGCUUAACCUGGGAACUGCAUUUGUGACUGCAUAGCUAGAGUACGGUAGAGGGGGAUGGAAUUCCGCGUGUAGCAGUGAAAUGCGUAGAUAUGCGGAGGAACACCGAUGGCGAAGGCAAUCCCCUGGACCUGUACUGACGCUCAUGCACGAAAGCGUGGGGAGCAAACAGGAUUAGAUACCCUGGUAGUCCACGCCCUAGACGAUGUCAACUGGUUGUUGGGAAGGUUCCUUCUCAGUAACGUAGCUAACGCGUGAAGUUGACCGCCUGGGGAGUACGGCCGCAAGGUUG
rnacentral:rRNA from 1 species